GACGCGGAGGAGAAGGGGAAGCCCCGGCCCGCGGCUCUAACGCGCGAUACCCUGCGGAGCGGAUCCAACAAUCAAUUCAUUAUUAAAGCACCAACGGCGAGGUCAGCAAAAGCAAGAAGUAACGAGUCGUCGUCUUCACCGCGGCCGCGCGCGCGCUCCCGCUCCCGCCGCUUAUCGGCUCCCGGCAGCCGCCAUGACGCCGAGAGAGCGAGCGCAACCGUCUCCGUCGUAGGCGCCUCCGCCGCCGCCGCCGCCGCCGCCACCGAGCUAGCCGUCGCCUCCGCCUCCCGCGCGACGUAAGCUUCUCCGCUCACUCCCCUUCCUCACUGGGCGCGAGACGGGCAACAGGGCGCGCGCACGCCGAACUCCACCAACUGGCGCCCGGACAGUGGGAGGGGCUACGUUGUGGAGUCGUGGGGCGUAGGAAGAAAACGAUUGGUGCUGUUGCGGGGCGGAGAGCGAGUGCGCGCACGCGCAGUGAUGGGAACGCGCACGCCGGCCGCGCAGAGGCUGCCGGACUCUGGCUGCCGCGGUGGGCUGUUAAGCCUUGCUCGGGCUCCCUCCCUUAGCGGCCUGGAGUUGAAUUCCGGGAAGUGGGAGCUGCAGGCUCGCUCCUUGCGGAAUUUUAGAAUGACUGUUGAGACUGUGGAGAAAUACAAGGGACUAAAAGAAGUACAGUACUGCUGGAGCAACAACUGAGGAAGAUGAAGCUGCAUGGUGGCCAGACCAUUCAGGGCCCAAACGCCAGUGAGCCGUUGUAACAGAGGUGGCAUGCACCCUGAGCACUUCCUGAGCCCUUCCAAGCUCCUUCCCUGGAAACUACACUCAGCCUCUCAGCAUCAAGCCAUCAUGCUUUGAACUGUGUCUGUGAGCAUCAGUGCUUUAUCUCCAUUUAUUUUGUGCAUCCAUUAGCAAGAUGUGUCCUAAGGCUAAAGCAGAGAACAACGGGGAUGGACAGAGUCUCAACUGUUGCUAAGAAACAAGUCCAGAUUGACAAGGAGAAACCAGACCCACUAAAGUCUUCAGCAUUAGCUAAAUGGAAAAGGAAUCUGCCUAAAAGAAAAUUAGCAGGCUCUCCUCCACAGUAGAGCAGUUGCAUGCCGUAAAACCCCAAAGCAGACUCAGACCACAGACUAUCUCAGCCCCUCAAGCACCUCCUGUUUUCCAGUACAAAAGAAUCUGCACCAGCUAGAAGUGGGUAUCCUUUCCCGAAAUGAAGAACCUUAGUGUCCCUUCUCAAGAGUGGCCCUGGAGGACUCUGUACAAGAGAAUCCAAACUGGAUAUAGACAGAUUUUCUAAUAACUGACUAGGAAGUUGGUCAGUUAACUCAUGCCUUAUGAGAUUUCAAGGGCCAUUAUUUACUAUCCCAAUCCUGCUGGGUACAAUACAUACUUUAGCGAGCUAGUUAAAUUUAUAUUUAGUCCACAGAUUGCAGAAUUAAUCCAAGUAUUUCUUGUAUGGGCUUUAUAUACCUAUCCUAGGGCUAGUUACAUUCAAAAUAGUGUAAAGGGGCUUCCCUGGUGGCGCAGUGGUUGA